GAGAUGUGCGCAAGCACUUUUCCCUUCUUACACCUGUGCACCGUUGGGUCUUCGGACCUAUACAAUACAUGUAGUCACGAACGUCAAUUAUUAUAAUCAAAUA
rnacentral:misc_RNA from 1 species